UGGGGAAUAUUGCACAAUGGGCGCAAGCCUGAUGCAGCAACGCCGCGUGAACGAUGAAGGUCUUCGGAUCGUAAAGUUCUGUUGCAGGGGAAGAUAAUGACGGUACCCUGUGAGGAAGCCCCGGCUAACUACGUGCCAGCAGCCGCUGUAAUACGUAGGGGGCUAGCGUUAUCCGGAUUUACUGGGCGUAAAGGGUGCGUAGGUGGUCUUUCAAGUCGGUGGUUAAAGGCUACGGCUCAACCGUAGUUAGCCUCCGAAACUGGAAGACUUGAGUGCAGGAGAGGAAAGUGGAAUUCCCAGUGUAGCGGUGAAAUGCGUAGAUAUUGGGAGGAACACCAGUAGCGAAGGCGGCUUUCUGGACUGCAACUGACACUGAGGCACGAAAGCGUGGGUAGCAAACAGG
rnacentral:rRNA from 1 species